AUUGAACGCUGGCGGCAGGCCUAACACAUGCAAGUCGAGCGGGGUUUUCGGACCUAGCGGCGGACGGGUGAGUAAUGCGUAGGAAGCUACCCGAUAGAGGGGAUACCAGUUGGAAACGACUGUUAAUACCGCAUAAUGUCUACGGACCAAAGUGUGGGACCUUCGGGCCACAUGCUAUCGGAUGCGCCUACGUGGGAUUAGCUAGUUGGUGGGGUAAUGGCUCACCAAGGCGACGAUCCCUAGCUGGUUUGAGAGGAUGAUCAGCCACACUGGAACUGAGACACGGUCCAGACUCCUACGGGAGGCAGCAGUGGGGGAAUAUUGGACAAUGGGCGCAAGCCUGAUCCAGCCAUGCCGCGUGUGUGAAGAAGGCCU
rnacentral:rRNA from 1 species